rnacentral:rRNA from 1 species
UAUGUGAUCGUCUCUCGCAUAUCAAUAAGCGGAGGAAAAGAAACUAACAAGGAUUCCCCUAGUAACGGCGAGGUGAAGCGGGAAGAGCUCAAACUUUGAAAUCUUAAAGGGUUUCCCUUUACGAAUUGUAGUUUGAAGAAGUGUUUUCUGUUGAGGUUUUGGUAAAAGUUCUUUGGAAUAGGACAUCAUAGAGGGUGAGAAUCCCGUAUUUGACCUUUACUUUCAACUUUGUGAUACACUUUCAAAGAGUCGGAUUGUUUGGGAAUGCAGUCCAAAAUGGGUGGUAAAUUUCAUCUAAAGCUAAAUAUUGGCGAGAGACCGAUAGCGAACAAGUACCGUGAGGGAAAGAUGAAAAGAACUUUGAAAAGAGAGUUAAACAGUACGUGAAAUUGUCAAAAGGGAAGCGUUUGACACCAGUGUUGUUUUUCUGAAAAUCAAUUAAAGAACUGUUUAUGCUAAGCUGUUUAGACUUUAUCAGCUAUCUGUUUAGUUUUGAGCUUUUCUUUAAUGCACUUUUCAGUUAACAAGUCAACAUCAAUUUCUUUUGCUGUAAAAAAGCUUGAGGAAGGUGGCUUGAGAUUCGUCUUAAGUGUUUAUAGCCUCUUGCCUAUGCAGUCGGAGAGAUUGAGGUCUGCAGCGUAGAUCCUUCGGGGCUAAAUGCAUUUGUGCUAAGUUAUAGCAUUUUAUAGACAACUUGUUGACUAUGAUUUGUCUUGUAGCUUACUCGCUUAUGUUAUUUUACCUACGCUUAGGAUGUUGAGUAGCGACAUACGCAC